AUGAUAGCUAUCUUUCCGAGGUGUAGGAUCUCAACCAGGGCAGGGCAGCGUGCAGCAACAAAGGCCGGGAGAGAACAGGCUCCUGCGUUAAUAUCUGUUACUGCGGGAGGGUGGGAUCGCACACGGGCCACCUGCCCGUGUUGCCGCCUCCUGAUCUGUUUCUGUAACUUCCAAGGGCCUACAUCACCGCGUCAUCAGCAAAUAAUCAAAAUUCAUGAAGGUGGGCAACAAGGACAGGGAGACUUCUCCUCAGUGGACUUGGAGGAGUCACCCAACGUGGGAGGCGCUCAGGGGGCUGGACAGUCCUCCCCAGGGAGGACUCCCCAGCCCCCGGCUGCUGGAAGGAGGAGAGGCCCAGGUGCCUUGGCCUGGGGCUCAGCCCACCAAGAAGCAAGGGGGAGGGACUUGCAUUUUUCUCCAACAACCUGUGGGAUCAAAGGUGGGAGCUUACUCUUCUGCUCUAACCUACCCUUGCCUGAUUUGGCAGGGACCUUGCCGCUCUGCCUGUACUGUUGCUACCACCUGCCACGUUUGUUGAAACCUUCCCUGGAAGGUUUCAACAAACGUGGCAGGUGGUAGCAACAGUACAGGCAGAGCGGCAAGGUCCCUGCCAAAUCAGGCAAGGGUAGGUUAGAGCAGAAGAGUAAGCUCCCACCUUUGAUCCCACAGGUUGUUGGAGAAAAAUGCAAGUCCCUCCCCCUUGCUUCUUGGUGGGCUGAGCCCCAGGCCAAGGCACCUGGGCCUCUCCUCCUUCCAGCAGCCGGGGGCUGGGGAGUCCUCCCUGGGGAGGACUGUCCAGCCCCCUGAGCGCCUCCCACGUUGGGUGACUCCUCCAAGUCCACUGAGGAGAAGUCUCCCUGUCCUUGUUGCCCACCUUCAUGAAUUUUGAUUAUUUGCUGAUGACGCGGUGAUGUAGGCCCUUGGAAGUUACAGAAACAGAUCAGGAGGCGGCAACACGGGCAGGUGGCCCGUGUGCGAUCCCACCCUCCCGCAGUAACAGAUAUUAACGCAGGAGCCUGUUCUCUCCCGGCCUUUGUUGCUGCACGCUGCCCUGCCCUGGUUGAGAUCCUACACCUCGGAAAGAUAGCUAUCAUUUUAUUGUCUGCUUCUCCCCCUUGAGUAGCAUUUUGCUCCGUGGCUUUAAGACUCUGUUACCACCGUUGUAGAUGGAGGCAUUGUCUUCUGCCUUCUGCCUCACAUAUGAACUGCCAUUUGUAUAAAUUUCAAGAUACAUAAUACACAGUGCCAGACCCUUUCAUGACAUUUAGUGCUGAAAGUUAGAGCAAUCAUAGGUGAUUAGUGUCUGAGGGUUUAUUAUAUGCCACAUACUAGUCUAAGUGCUUCACAUGUAUUAACUCAUUGAAUCAUGCAAUCUAUGAAUCAGGUGCUAUUAUUAACCCCAUGGGAUAGACUGAGGCCCAGAAGGGAAGAAUAACUUGCUCAGAGGAACAAUGCAUAGUGGGUGGCAAAGCUGGGUUUUGAUCCCAGGCAUUGUGGCUCUAGAGCCUGCAUUCUCAGCAACUGUAAACUGAUCAGUCUUAGAACUAAAUGCAAUCAUUAAGUCAGUUUACAAUCUAACAUGCAAUAUACAAUGCUAUUUUCCAAGUAUUCUCAGGCUCCAAUACACAUGUCAUUGGUUUAUUUUCUAGACUCUAAUACUGUUUAUCAGCUACAGGUAGCACACCUUUCCUAUCAAUGUUGAAAGUGUUACAGGAAAGAAGAGAAAAAAGCAUUUUUGCUUCUCUGAAGUGUGACCCUGUGUGUGUCAGUUCUCCAGAAACCUAAAACUUAUUUUGGGAAGAAACUCCCCAUCCAUCCAGAGAAUAAAAUUGCCAUGUCACUGGGAAAUUUACCA
ensembl:lncRNA